rnacentral:rRNA from 1 species
AACGAACGCUGGCGGCAGGCUUAACACAUGCAAGUCGAACGCCCCGCAAGGGGAGUGGCAGACGGGUGAGUAACGCGUGGGAAUCUACCCAGUUCUACGGAAUAACCCAGGGAAACUUGGACUAAUACCGUCUACGCCCGACGGGGGAAAGUUUUAUCGGAAAUGGAUGAGCCCGCGUUGGAUUAGCUUUGUGGUGAGGUAACGGCUCACCAAGGCGACGAUCCAUAGCUGAUCUGAGAGGAUGAUCAGCAACACUGGGGAUGAGACACGUCCCAGACUCAUAAGGGAGGCAGCAGUGGGGAAUAUUGGACAAUGGGCGCAAGCCUGAUCCAGCCAUGCCGCGUGAGUGAUGAAGGCCUUAGGGUUGUAAAGCUCUUUCAGUGGGGACGAUAAUGACGGUACCCACAGAAGAAGCCCCGGCUAACUUCGUGCCAGCCGCCGCAGUAAAAC